rnacentral:rRNA from 1 species
UACACUCCUAACGGGAGGCAGCAGUGAGGAAUAUUGGACAAUGGGUGGAAGCCUGAUCCAGCCAUCCCGCGUGCAGGAAGACGGCCCUAUGGGUUGUAAACUGCUUUUAUCUGGGGAUAAACCUACUUACGUGUAAGUAGCUGAAGGUACCAGAAGAAUAAGCACCGGCUAACUCCGUGCCAGCAGCCGCGGUAAUACGGAGGGUGCAAGCGUUAUCCGGAUUUAUUGGGUUUAAAGGGUCCGUAGGCGGACUGAUAAGUCAGUGGUGAAAUCCGACAGCUUAACUGUCGAACUGCCAUUGAUACUGUUAGUCUUGAGUAAGGUUGAAGUGGCUGGAAUAAGUAGUGUAGCGGUGAAAUGCAUAGAUAUUACUUAGAACACCAAUUGCGAAGGCAGGUCACUAAGUCUUAACUGACGCUGAUGGACGAAAGCGUGGGGAGCGAACAGGAUUAGAAACCCGGGUAGUCCC